rnacentral:tmRNA from 18 species
GGGGCCGAUCAGGAUUCGACGCCGGUAGCGAAACUCUAGGUGCAUGCCGAGUUGGUAACAGAACUCGUAAAUCCACUGUUGCAACUUUCUAUAGUUGCCAAUGACGAAAACUUCGAGGCGGAGUACGCUCUCGCUGCGUAAGCAGCCGAGCCCGACCUUCUGGUAGCUUCGGCUCCAGCAAUCAUCAGGGGAUGCCUGUAAACCCGAAAUGAUUGUCAUACAGAACAGGAUCGUCGUGUAGCACGUUGGGGGCAAAGCGACUAAAACUUACCCAACUCGUCCAAAGCACCCUGCCCGUCGGGCGGCUGCGGAUUAACUCAGUAGACACGGCUAAGCAUGUAGUACCGACAGCGGAGUACUGGCGGACGGGGGUUCAAAUCCCCCCGGCUCCACCA